rnacentral:rRNA from 1 species
AGAGGGUGCAAGCGUUAAUCGGAAUUACUGGGCGUAAAGCGCGCGUAGGUGGUUUGUUAAGUUGGAUGUGAAAGCCCCGGGCUCAACCUGGGAACUGCAUCCAAAACUGGCAAGCUAGAGUACGGUAGAGGGUGGUGGAAUUUCCUGUGUAGCGGUGAAAUGCGUAGAUAUAGGAAGGAACACCAGUGGCGAAGGCGACCACCUGGACUGAUACUGACACUGAGGUGCGAAAGCGUGGGGAGCAAACAGGAUUAGA